rnacentral:ribozyme from 1 species
ACUCGUCUGAGCGAGUAUAAAUAGACAUUAGGCUCAGAGCGCCCCCAAGGCUACGUCCUUUGGGGGGUUGAA